rnacentral:precursor_RNA from 12 species
AGGGUGGCCUGAUUGGGGUAGGGGUCGGGGAGAGCAUCUUCGGAUGGAGGAGGAAGUUACUUACACACUUCUCCAUUGAACGAUGCUCCCCCUGCACCUACCACCUGGCUGGUCCUGGAUA